UUACUAGGUAUAUUUAACUAAUGACAAAAAGUAUCUUUACUACUAUGUCCAGCUAAGGUUAAAGUCACUUAUGUUUAACCCAAUUAACAAGAGACUUACACAUGGUAAAGUCCCAGCCCAUGCCGUGCCUAAUAGCUCUGUGGAAGUCAACACUACCCACAGCAAUCCACUUCGGCGAUCAGUCUCGUAUAGAAGCGAGUAAUCUGUCGCUAGGCUAACUCCGGAGUGCCGGCUUGUGGGGCGCGACCCUCACAAGCAUGUGCGAAUGAGCACAUUGGCAUGCAAGCAUAAUCCAUAGCAUAGGUAUCACAAGUUCAUCAUGUCUCCAACAUGGAAUUUCAACUCGACACAAAGUCGACUCUCAACACUAAGUCAUGAUCCACUAUCAACUGCUUGAUGACAUAUUCUACCAAUAGAUAAUAUGACUUAAACAUAUACAUGUUCUACAUCAUAUUGAUGUCUCUAACGGGCUAUAACCGCAUACUCAUCUGUAGUUCCCUCACUACUUCCUACACAUAAGGAAUGUGGUUUACUAAGGUCAUAUUCAAUGACUCAUACACAUAUUCUAUAGUUCAACAUAAGUCUCCACUACUUGGAGUUUACAAGUAAUAUGCAAAUUACUUCUACUUGGCUAUAUAAGUAUAUUAUCAUGUCCAAUUCUAGUUAUUUACUUGAUCAUAUUCAAUAGUAUAACCUUCAUGUUAUGUCAUAAAACCCAGUUCUAGUUACUUAACUAGAUCAUAUAUAUAAGACCAUGCAAUUCAUGCUGCUGCUAUCACAUAAAACAAAUACUAACCUGUUAACACAGGUAAGCGAAACAUCAAAUGAGGUGCUCUAUACAUGAUUCCUGUACAGUUCCUUCCACAAUAUACAUAUAUAUGUAUGUAACUUCAUUAUCUUUAUAUAAGAUACUAAAAGUUCCAUCAUCAUGUUUCUAAUAUGGAAUUACGGGAUUUAACUCAAAGUGCAUCACCAUAAUACAUCAUUUACAUAGUUGUCCAUUUGAACUAAAUGUCAUAUUUAUGACUACACAGGUAUAUCUUCAUUGAAUGAUGUCAUACUUAACUUGUCUACCCCAGGUUACUAGUAUCUUGAAUACAUGCUAACCAAGCAAGCAAUUUAGGUAAGCUAAACUGUUUCAUAAUCCUUCCUCUACUACAUAGAGGUUCCAUUAUAUCCAAUAUGAUAUACUGUAACAAAGUGAAUUCUCGAAAUCCAAGAGUUGCACUUCAUCCAGAAUCGACUAAUGGUCGAGUGGGUAUGCUUCAGAAAGGCCGAAGAUGUCAAAGACCCAAAAAGUACAUUGGAAAUGAGUCCGUGAGAGCAAAGAUGCAAAAUCUGCAUUUUUAGUAGAUUUGUUCUCGGGGACCGGUCUCUGGCAGGAGAGACCGGUCCCAUCGACUGAGGGUGCGGGGUUGCUGAUGCAACCGGUCCCUGGCAGGGAGGGACCGGUCCCCGCAGGCGACACUAGCAAGAAUAGCCAAAAAUUGGCUAAGUCCCGCGAGACGAGCUCUCGGGGACCGGUCUCUGGUGGGUAGACCGGUCUCCGGGGGACCGGUCUCUCAGGGAGAGACCGGUUCCCGAACGCGUGGAAAAUGGGAAGGUCCUCUGGGACCAGUCCCAUGUCGGGGAGACCGGUCCCUCCGCAUGGGUUCAACCCAGUAAGGGCCAGUUGAGAGAUAGAAAGUUGAGGGGCUUCUUAGCAUUUUGUUACAAUAUGAGAGGGGAUUAAGAGAGGGUUUCUCUCUCUCUUUCUCUCAUUCCCUCACUCUCCCUCACUGCUCUUUCUCUCUUUCCGAUCGUGGAAGAAGAAAAAGGAAAAAAAAAAAGAAGAGAAAAAAGAAAGAAAAAGAGAAGAAAAGAAGGAGAAAAUGGGAUUUUGUGAUUUGGGAGGGUUUGAUCUUAUUUGACCCUCUGUAAACCUAAUUGAUAGGUAACGAAACGCGUUGGCGAAGUCGGUUUGGCAAUCCGACAAGCCAUUACAAAGAUAUCGAAGAAACGGACGUUUGGAGCUUCGUUUCCGCCUGGAAGGCCGAGGCGACGUCCAUAAAUCGCGAGAUUGGAUCCCGAGCACCGUGACAACAAAGCGAAGACCUUUAAUUCUUGGAACGGCAAAGCGGCGCGCUAUUGGAGUGCAACUACAAGAUCGGGCCCAAACGGGUGCCGAGUGUUGCGGGAGGCCGAUUGCAAGUGUCGACGAGCAAUUGGAAAGCUAAGGUGGGUUGUGCUUACCGAAGCGACUAGGUCGCCCUUUAUGUCUAAGAACAUACGGUUUCAUAUUGACGCAUGUUAAUAAAAUGACGUAGAUGAUGCAUAUAUUAAAAAUGCUAAGUAGAAUGCAUGAUGAACAUGAUAUAUAAAUGCUAGAGGAUCGCAUGAGUGCAUGAGUAGCAUGACUAUAUAUAUAUGCAUGUAAACUAGAUGAUAACUCUAGAAGUGUAGAGUUGAUUGACAUGAGAACAAUAGAAUACUCGAUUGGACAAUUAGGAUGUCAAUUAGAUCGAGUGGCACCUAAACCUAGUGUUAAAGAACAUAGGUUAAACGAGUAAACCUAGAGUCGAACAAGUCUAGGUGUGUGGCAUCGAACCUAGUGUUAGUAAACAUAGAUCGAACAAGUGAACCUAGAGGUUGACAUCUAGGCAGAGAUGAGAUGGAACCUAGCGGUUUUACCUAGGUUAUGUAUAUGAUAAACCUAGAGUGAAGUUAAACCUAGGUUGUUGAGAAUAGUGGUAUUGACCACUAGGAUGUUCUAGGUCGACAACAUAGGGUUGGUUAUGGACCCUCGACCUGUGGAAAGUGGAUUCCGGAAUCCCAGGACUUGUGAUGACCCUGGUAUCAAGGCUAGGGCGUGUGCGACGACUUUGCCGCCGAGGUUGAUACCGAGGGAGGAUUGGGGGCGAUCACAUGGAGAUCACCGCUCGGAGCUUGGACCAUUGACGUGGCGUGUGCGACGAUUUCGCCGCCAAAUGGUUAAGUCGAUUGUCGAUCAGACCGCCGGGAUUGACUGAAACCAUUGCUGGGCAAGUACAAUACGGGUGCCGCCAGGUGGCUGAGUCGUGACUGAAAUCAUUGUUGGGUAAGGUGCGAUUAGUUCGCCGCCAGAUGGAUAGGUCAUGACUUGAGUCCUCGCUGGGUAAAUGCAAUGUGUUUGCCGCCAGAAUGGCUAUGUCAAGGGACUUGAGCCGGGUUCAGCAUGUGCGACGAUUUCGCCGUUAAGAGGCUAAGUCACAGAAGGCGGUACGCUGUUGAGCGGCCAGUGCACGGACUAUCCGCGGAUGAUUGACUCGAAGCCGAGUCGGGUGGUUAGCUUCGAUAAGAUAGUGGAACCCUUAUGAGCUAGUGAUAGAGGCUUGAGCUAAGGUAAUAGAGACCUUAGAAGCCAGUUGACUUGAGUGUGACCCUAAGGCAAUAGAAACCUUAGAGUUGAAUGAUAUGAGCUAAGAGUAGCCAAGUAGAAUCAAUUGAUCUACUAGUUGUUGCAUAGAGUUGCAUGAUUUUCAUAUCACAUAUCGUGAGGCAUGGCAUGUAUUUCAAUUCGAAUAUAUAUAUCUGUUGUAUAUUGUUGAACUAACAUGUUGCAGUGCCUCCUCGGACCUAUUGGUCGAACUUUUUCCUUGGGUGGCCGUACCCACUGAAAACCAUGGAGUUGGUUCUCACCCCACGUUGUUUUGGGGUGUUACAGGUUCGCACGUGAGCGGCGCAGCGGCACGAGGAAAGAGCGUAGCUCCAUAGAUAGUGCCCUACCACAGAGACCGAGGUAGCAGUACCCUGAGACAGUCUAGCUUAGGGGACUAGAAGACAAUGAACCAAGUUGUAUCAAUCUUUGUAAAUCAAAUGUAAUAACUGAGAUUGUAUUUGGAAGUCUAAUGUAAAAGAAAAACUGUGAUGUAAAAUGCAUGUAAUGAGAAUGCUUGUAAUAGCUAUAAGUUUAUGUUGUUGAUACUUCCUCAUGCAAUCUGUUUGUUGGUAUCGGUUCCUGGUUGGAACCUUCGUAUUGUGUUGAUUGCGAUGCCUUGAAUGUACAUGGGAGUCUCUAUCCGCAGUACAGGGAAAAUCCUGUCCGUUCGGCGGUCUGUCGGUGUGCCCGCGACCCGGCCAAAUAGGCGGGCGGUCGCGGGGUGUGACAGAUAAAGUGGUAUCAGAGCAUAAAGUCGAGAAUAAGAAAAUGGUUUAGACAGGCCUAGGAGACCCUAGGAUAUUGAAACCAUAGGAGAAUAAGACCCGUGAGAGACGAGGACUUGUGAUUCGUGGCGAAAGGUUAAUGGAUUGGGUUGUGUCGGAAUCUCUAAGACGGAUAUUAGAGGUAGACUUAAGGUAAGGUUUAUUCUUGACCAAGAGUGUUCAUGUUGGGCGCGUACAACAUGAAGCCGAGUGACGAGAAUAGACGUCCUUGCGUGACUUUCGCCAGAUUGACUUUUGAGUCGGUGUUAGUGGUCUCGUGUUCGGCCCAGUAGGUCGAGAACUAAUCGAGUUGUCCUGUUUCAAGAAGCGAUGGCACCACGUAGGCGAUCUUCGUCCAGAUCGGCGCCGGAGGGGACAAGUGGUGUCCCUGAGCAAACCGACGCGAGCGGAGACGUGGAGCUUCGUGAUCAGUUGGCCACACUCGUUAGAGUGAUGAGGCAACAGGCUGAUGUAGUGCAGCGGCAGCAGGAGGCUGCAAUGGGCCAAGAGGAGCGAAUGAAACGACUCUAGGAAACCUUGGAUCGACUGGUGGCUGCACCAGCUGCGGCUCGUCGAGAACGGCUGGGAGUUGGGGCGGAGAUGUUUCCAUCGGGGUCGGGCGACCCGACUUCUAUUAGUCCAGAGGUAGCGGCGGAGAAGAAGCGAGCUUUGGCUGCCUUCAUGGCUUUCAAGAAAUUUGAUCCGCUUACCUUUGAUGGAGAGGAUGCAGAUCCGUGGGUCGUUGAGAUGUGGAUCGAUUCUAUAGAAACACUCUUCGAGGAUCUGUACGUGUUGGAGCGAGACAAGGUAAACCUAGCCGCGCACUAUCUGAAACAAUCGGCGAAGGUGUGGUGGAAAGGCGUCAAGCAAGAUCGAUCGCUUAGUCUCCCUCCUAUGACUUGGGAUGAGUUUCGAGGGUUAAUAUUCUCUGCUUAUUUUCCCGACAGUGAGAGGCGGAAGCUUUAGGAAAGGUUCCAAAAGCUGCGGCAAGGAGAUCGCUCAGUCAAGCAUUACGAGCGGGAGUUCUCCCGUAUCGUGCAUUGUAUUCCAGACGUGGUACAGGAUGACAAGGAUAAGGCCAACUGCUUUGUGCGUGGACUUUGGCCGGAUCUUUACAAGCCUGUACUUAUGCUUAAGUUGCAGACUUUUGCCGAAGUCCUGGAUCGGGCCUUGUGGAUAGAACAAGGCGAGGCAUCUCUGCGGGAGAGGCGCGAGGCCUAUUACGAGGAGAAAAGAAAAGGACGACCAACGAGUGGACAUGAUGGUCAGUCAAGUUCCCAACAGACCUCGGUGAGUUCGCACUCUCGAUCUCGAGCUCCGGGGACGUACCACAUUCUGUCCUCGAUGAGAUGUGUGAUUUGUGGGGGCCCUCGUUACCCACAGCAAUGUGAGCAGCGAGAGGGCAAGUAUUUUAAGUGUGGGCGACCAGGCCAUAUGCAGGACGAGUGUCUGCAAGGUGAUAGCCAGGCCUUGACACUAGUGACGGCCCAUUCCUCUCCGCGACGGCCUGCAGGUGUGCAACCUGCGGCAUGGUCGGGGGAGCAGCCGUUGAGGACGAUGCAACCGGAGGGUUCACGGCGAGUGCCAAGCAUAUACUUUUGCAUGAUCUCAAGUUCGUGCAUGGCAUGCAUUCGUCAUUGGUGAGUUGCUACUAUUAUUACGUUGCAUAGUAGGGACCNUCCGCGACGGCCUGCAGGUGUGCAACCUGCGGCAUGGUCGGGGAACCUGCCGUUGCUGACGACGUCAUGGCAGGUAUGAGUUGAUUGAGCAAGCAUAUACUUUUGCAUGAUCUCAAGUUCGUGCAUGGCAUGCAUUCGUCAUUGGUGAGUUGCUACUAUUAUUACGUUGCAUAGUAGGGACCAAGUGGUCGGGUAGGUAGACACCCGAGCAUGCUUGCAUUGUGAGAGUAUAGCACCUGCUGGUGCAGGAAGAAGGCCAAGUGACACUAGCGAAUGGCUGGUGAUGGUUCUUGGAUGAGAAAUAGGGCUCGUGGCAAACGUGAUCUAGUAAAUGACUCUCGAAGCAUUGGAUAAGAGAUUGUGAGAGUUGAGCCUUGAUGUUUGGGGAUACUCGAAUAUUCUAAGAGUAUCUCGGAUGGGGAUUCGGUAGAUCGAACAGUGAAGACGAACUACUGUUGCGAAAUUGGUCGAUUAGCGCCGAGUUUGGCCUGUGGGCCUAGUAGUACCUCGAAUUGAGGUGAACUAGUUGUGCUCGUGUAGUCAGCGGGCAUAGGCAAGUUGCCUGAUGCUAAACUUCGUGUGAGACGCUGUAGAGGCGUAGAGCGCUCCAGUAUAGUUACUCGUGAAGUGUGAUUUCGAUUCAGCCAGUCGAGUGAAUUGGCAGUAGCACUUUAGCAGGGCUAAGUGUGAAGCGGGCCAUGGAUCACUCGUGGGGACUGGUGGCUUGCACUAGGUGCCUAGGAGCCGAUAGAGUGUGUAGCUCUGUAGAGCAUGUCGUGUAGGACGACGUUGGCGGGUAGCGCUUGGGGACAACCCGUGUCUGGACCAAUUGUGGACUGUGGAGCUUAGGCCCAUCGGGCAGGCGCAGUCAGCUGUGAGAGAUAGCGGCCCGAUACCUGCAGGUAGGGCGGAGUGUUGGUCAGGACCGUAGUUCGAGCUUGGACCCGGGUACGUGGAAUGCCACGUGUUAGAUCAUGAGAUUGAUGACACACUGGGUGUGUACUGACCCAACACGUGGACUUGACGUGGUUUGGAGUCUUGGUUGCUCCUGGUUGGAGUGUGUGCGAAUUCUCCAAUGAGAAUGUCGCCCGAUGAUGAUUGGGUCUGCGCUUGCGAGCGAGAGAUGCUAGGUAUCAUUGAGACGAGUUAGGCGAUUGGCCUACGUAGGAUUGGUGGCCCUUGGUUCACCUGUGCAAACCGACGGUCGGUGCGGCCGACAACUCUGUUAGUGAAGUUUUGGCCUGAACCUCGGAUGGUGGGUUCGUGAAGGUUCGUUGUAAGAGCGAAUGGAAGUUGAUCGUGGCUCACCGUAUCGAGGAUAGAGAGAAAGUAAAGUGGUCUCUAGGAGACACUUGAAUAAUGGAUAGCCACGCGAGGAUUGGAGUUUGAGGAUGAUGCUCUCAAGAGGAUAGAGAUCAGAGAUGUGUGGGAUUGUACCAUCUCGUGAGAGCAGAGAUUCGAUUGGGAUUGAAGCACUCGCGAUUGGGUCGAGGCAUCAAUGAUAUUGCUUCUAGGCAAUGCCGGUGAUCGGAUUGGAGUGUGUUCCUUGAAGUGAAGAGGAAUGCGAAGCGGAGAGGUAUCGAGCUCUCGAAUAGCCGAAGUAGUGGAGUGCCACUUUGCGGAUGCUUGAGUAAUUCGAGAGGGUCUACUCGUGCGCAUAGUGUUGUGGUGGUGGAUCGUUCGUUUAGUUGAUGCGAUCUUGCUAGAUCCACACCACAAGGACAAAGGGUAGUCCUGAUCUCGAGGGAUGGUGAUGUUUAGUAGAACUGCGAAGGAACGAGUCCUUCUUAAGCCGAGUGGUUGGUGGUGUUAGACUGUGUGGGGUCAUACAUAUUGACUUACGCUACCACCGGGGCCUGUGAGGCCAUAAUGCACUUUCGAUGUUACAGGUGGAAAAUGUGAGUGAAAUUGGUCUCACAUCUCCCGUAGUGGGCAUUUGGAUGAUUCCGAUAAGGAAAAGGCCACUUCGAAGUGCAAAAGUGCAUUGGAACCCUCGAUUAAGUAGUGAGUUGAAUUGAGGGGUGAUUUGGAGUUAUGAAUGAGUAAGUUUCGAGGACGAAACUUUUUUUAAGGAGGAGAGAAUGUAACAAAGUGAAUUCUCGAAAUCCGAGAGUUGCACUUCGUCCAAAAUCGACUAAUGGUCGAGUGGGUAUGCUUCGGAAAGGUCGAAGAUGUCAAAGACCCAAAAAGUGCAUUGGAAAUGAGUCCGCGAGAGCAAAGAUGCAAAAUCUGCAUUUUUAGCAGAUUUGCUCUCGGGGAUCGGUCUCUGGCAGGAGAGACCGGUUCCAUCGGCUGAGGGUGCGGGGUUGCUGAUGCAACCAGUCCCUAGCAGGGAGGGACCGGUCCCCGCAGGCGACACCAGCAAGAAUGGCCAAAAAUUGGCUAAGUCCCGCGAGACGAGCUCUCGGGGACCAGUCUCUGGUGGGCAGGCCAGUCUCCGGGGGACCGGUCUCUCAGGGAGAGACCGGUUCUCGAACGUGUGGAAAAUAGGAAGGUCCUCUGGGACCGGUCCCAUGUCGGGAAGACCGGUCCCUCCGCGCGGGUUCAGCCCAGUGAGGGCCAGUUGAGAGAUGGAAAGUUGAGGGGUUUCUUAGCAUUUUGUUAUAAUAUGAGAGGGGAUUAAGAAAGGGUUUCUCUCUCUUUCUCUCACUCCCUCACUCUCCCUCACUGCUCUCUCUCUCUCUCUCCAUUCGUGGAAGAAGAAAAAGGAAAAAAAAAAAAGAGGAGAAGAAAGAAAGGAAAAGAGAAGAAAAGAAGGAUAAGAUGGAGGAAAAGAAGAGGAUCAUCAUCACCAUCAUCAUCUUCUUUUUCUCACCAUUGGAGCAAGCUUAGAGAGGUAAGCUUGGUGCCCUCUCAUAGUAGAUCUUUAGAGAUAGAUUUUUGAUCUCUAAAAAUGGUUGGAAUGGAACCCUAACAUGCUAUCAAGAUGGUUUUCCCCCAUUUUAUAGAUCGAUUUAGUGGAUUUGGUAGUAGUAGCAUAUAGGGCAUCCAAAAUGGAAUUUUGUGAUUUGGAAGGGUUUGAUCUCAUUUGACCCUCUAUAAACCUAAUUGAUAGGUAACGAAACGCAUUGGCGAAGUCGGUUCGGCAAUCCGACAAGCCGUUACAAAGAUAUUGAAGAAACGGACGUUUGGAGCUUCGUUUCCGCCUGGAAGGCCGAGGCGACGUCCAUAAAUCGCGAGAUUGGGUCCCGAGCACUGUGACAACAAAGCGAAGACCUUUAAUUCUUGGAACAGCAAAGCGGCGCGCUAUUGGAGUGCAACUACAAGAUCGGGCCCAACGGGUGCCGAGUGCCGUGGGAGGCCGAUUGCAAGUGUCGACGAGCAAUCGGAAAGCUAGCUAAGGUGGGUUGUGCUUACCGAAGCGACUAGGUCGCCUUUUAUAUCUAAGAACAUACGGUUUCAUAUUAACGCAUGUUAAUAAAAUGACGUAGAUGAUGCAUAUAUUAAAAAUGCUAAGUAGAAUGCAUGAUGAACAUGAUGUAUAAAUGCUAGAGGAUCGGAUGAGUGCAUGAGCAGCAUGACUAUAUAUAUAUGCAUGUAAACUAGAUGAUAACUCUAGAAGUGUAGAGUUGAUUGAAUGAGAACAAUAGAAUACUCGAUUGGACAAUUAGGAUGUCAAUUAGAUCGAGUGGCACCUAAACUUAGUGUUAAAGAAUAUAGGUUAAACGAGUAAACCUAGAGUCGAACAAGUCUAGGUGUGUGGCAUCGAACCUAGUGUUAGUAAACAUAGGUCGAACAAAUGAACCUAGAGGUUGACAUCUAGGCAGAGAUGAGAUGGAACCUAGCGGUUUUACCUAGGUUAUGUAUAUGAUAAACCUAGAGUAAAGUUAAACCUAGGUUGUUGAGAAUAGUGGUAUUGACCACUAGGAUGUUCUAGGUCGACAACAUAGGGUUCGUUAUGGACCCUCGACCUGUGGAAAGUGGAUUCCGGAAUCCCAGGACUUGUGAUGACCCUGGUAUCAAGGUUAGGGCGUGUGCGACGACUUUGCCGCCGAGGUUGAUACCGAGGAAGGAUUGGGGGCGAUCACAUGGAGAUCACCGCCCGGAGCUUGGACCAUUGACAUGGCGUGUGCGAUGAUUUCGCCGCCGGAUGGUUAAGUCGAUUGUGGAUCAGGCCGCCGGAAUUGACUGAAACCAUUGCUGGGUAAGUACGAUACGGGUGUCGCCAGUUGGCUAAGUCGUAACUGAAAUCAUUGUUGGGUGAGGUACGAUUAGUUUGCCGCCAGAUGGAUAGGUCAUGACUUGAGUCCUCGCUGGGUAAGUGCAACGUGUUCGCCGCCAGAAUGGCUAUGUCAAGGGACUUGAGCCGGGUUCAGCGUGUGCGACGAUUUCGCCGCUAAGAGGCUAAGUCACAGAGGGCGGUAGGCUGUUGCGCGGCCAGUGCACGGACUAUCCGCGGAUGAUUUACUCGAAGCUGAGUCGGGUGGUUAGCUUCGAUAAAGUAGUGGAACCCUUAUGAGCUAGUGAUAGAGGCUUGAGCUAAGGUAAUAGAGACCUUAGAAGCCAGUGGACUUGAGUGUGACCCUAAGGUAAUAAAAACCUCAGAGUUGAAUGAUGUGAGCUAAGAGUAGCCAAGUAAAGUGUAGAAUCAAUUGAUCUACUAGUUGUUGCAUAGAGUUGCAUGAUUUUCAUAUCGCAUAUCGUGAGGCAUGGCAUGUAUUUCAAUUCGAAUAUAUAUAUCUGUUGUAUAUUGUUGAACUAACAUGUUGCAGUGCCUCCUCGAACCUAUUGGUCGAGCUUUUCCCUUGGGUGGCCGUGCCCACUGGAAACCAUGGAGUUGGUUCUCACCCCACGUUGUUUUGGGGUGUUACAGGUUCGCACGUGAGCGGCGCGGCGGCGCGAGGAAAGGGCGUAGCUCCAUAGAUAGCGCCCUAUCACAAAGACCGAGGUAGCAGUACCCUGAGACAGUCUAGCUUAGGGGACUAGAAGACAAUGAACCAAGUUGUAUCAAACUUGUAAAUCAAAUGUAAUAACUGAGAUUGUAUUUGGAAGUCUAAUGUAAAAGAAAAACUGUGAUGUAAAAUGCAUGUAAUGAGAAUGCUUGUAAUAGCUAUAAGUUUAUGUUGUUGAUACUUCCUCAUGCAAUCUAUUUGUUGGUAUCGGUUCCUAGUUGGAACCUUCGUAUUGUGUUGAUUGCGAUGCCUUGAAUGUACAGGGGAGACUCUGUACGCAGUACAGGAAAAACCCUAUCCGUUCCGCGGUCUGUCGGCGUGCCCGCGACCCUGCCAAAUAGGUUGGCGGUCGCAGGGCGUGACAUAUACAUAAUGAUGUUGCCCCAACUCAUUCAAAUAAACAUGUAUUCACAUGCAUAUGCAACAAUUCC
rnacentral:lncRNA from 1 species